CUGCAGCCAAUUAAGCCGACCGGCCCCCUCUUCCCAUGGGGGCCUGGUUUGCAAUGGCUGCAGACAGCAGCCUCCUUGGUAGUGUAUGUGGCCUGUUGCCUGUACAGGUUGCCCUAAGGGACCUUGGAGACAGCC
rnacentral:snoRNA from 15 species